UACGUAGGGGGCAAGCGUUGUCCGGAAUCAUUGGGCGUAAAGAGCGCGUAGGCGGUCCGGUAAGUCCGCUCUGAAAGUCCGGGGCUCAACCCCGGGAGGCGGGUGGAUACUGUCGGGCUAGAGUCCGGAAGAGGCGAGUGGAAUUCCUGGUGUAGCGGUGAAAUGCGCAGAUAUCAGGAGGAACACCAAUGGCGAAGGCAGCUCGCUGGGACGGUACUGACGCUGAGGCGCGAAAGCGUGGGGAGCAAACAUG
rnacentral:rRNA from 1 species